UGCAAGUCGAGCGAUGAACACCUUCGGGUGUGAAUUAGCGGCGAACGGGUGAGGAACACGUGAAGAAUCUGCCUUCAACUCUGGGAUAACUCCGGGAAACCGGGGCUAAUACCGGAUAUGAGCCUCGAUCGCAUGAUUGGGGCUGGAAAGUUUUUCGGUUGAAGAUGACUUCGCGGCCUAUCAGCUUGUUGGUGAGGUAAUGGCUCACCAAGGCGACGACGGGUAGCCGGCCUGAGAGGGCGACCGGCCACACUGGGACUGAGACACGGCCCAGACUCCUACGGGAGGCAGCAGUGGGGAAUAUUGGGCAAUGGAGGAAACUCUGACCCAGCGACGCCGCGUGAGGGAUGAAGGCCUUCGGGUUGUAAACCUCUUUCAGUAGGGAAGAAGCGAAAGUGACGGUACCUACAGAAGAAGCACCGGCUAACUAUGUGCCAGCAGCCGCGGUAAUACAUAGGGUGCAAGCGUUGUCCGGAAUUAUUGGGCGUAAAGAGCUCGUAGGUGGUUCGAUACGUCGGAUGUGAAAAUCAGGGGCUCAACCCCUGACCUGCAUCCGAUACGGUCGAGCUAGAGUUUGGUAGGGGAGACUGGAAUUCCUGGUGUAGCGGUGGAAUGCGCAGAUAUCAGGAGGAACACCGAUGGCGAAGGCAGGUCUCUGGGCCAAUACUGACACUGAGGAGCGAAAGCGUGGGGAGCGAACAGGAUUAGAUACCCUGGUAGUCCACGCCGUAAACGGUGGGCGCUAGUUGUGCGAACCUUCCACGGUUUGUGCGACGCAGCUAACGCAUUAAGCGCCCCGCCUGGGGAGUACGAUCGCAAGAUUAAAACUCAAAGGAAUUGACGGGGCCCCGCACAAGCAGCGGAGCAUGCGGCUUAAUUCGACGCAACGCGAAGAACCUUACC
rnacentral:rRNA from 1 species